UUGGCACAAGAAAAGCAGCCCGAUAGCAGUCAACCCUAAUAGCACAAUGUUCAUCUCCGUUCUUUGUUUCGUCUGAUCUUCUUUUUCAUCGACCAAAAACGUUACCAGUUACAGAUUCGUCUCAUUAAACCUCUUCUUAACUCCAUCAACCAUGAUCUGGUCUUGAAUGUGAACAACUUCUCCGAGGCGGUGUCACAGCGAAUAUAAAAAGUUAAGCCUUCCUCUUCUCAAAACCAUCUUCUCGAUCUGUUGAACCAACAAAGUUGAUGCGUUGACUUCCUCUCCCUAGCAAAGGGAAACAUGAACGGUUAGUGGCUACACUCAAUCGAUUCGUCUGGACUUCUUCUUAAAUCGUUAUGGGCGUCAAUAUGCUUCUCCUUGAAGCCAAGGUUGCUCCGGCGAUUUAGAAAACAAACUCAAGUUUUUUCUAUGAUGAUUUAAAGUCAAAGUCUUUACAAGCUGAGUUUGGCGAAAAGAGGAGCUUUGGUCGCGGUUUCUGUAUUACAGUUAAGAGAUUGCAACAUAUAAAAAAAUUACUAACGCUCUGCUUCAUAGAAGGAUAUUACUGAAGAAAACAAAUCUCAUCCAUGCCCAACAGAGUAGUUAUUCCGUGUUGAUAUUGUUAAUAAAUGGAAAGAGUCUUCAACGGUUUCAGUGCUGCCCAGAUGUUUAGAGAAUAUCAAGAUGUCUGAUACGGCCUUACUGGGGGAUUAGAAUUCUUUUGGUUCAAUGGAAAAUUAGCUCAGAAGUCCAGUGAAAAAGUGUUGAAGGAUGCAAUGAAACCAUCACAAAACAGUUCUGCUUAUGUCUAUGAAAGUUGGCGUCGAACUGAAUCUAACCGCUUCGUCACACAUCUUCUUAACGCGUAGGGCAGAAAAGAAUGGCAUGUGGAAGAAGCUUCAUUGUUAAAACCAGGUUACCUUCUACACUCCUAGGCGUGACAAGUCAGAUAAUAGGAAAACAAAAGCUUGCUACAUGUCUCUCUAAGGUAGUUUUGUUGCUUCCUGAAUUGGUCUAAACAAGCAGAAGAAGGCUAAGGGAAACCGGAACAUCAUUUUCUGGUUGGAGACAGAAGCGCUUGGAAUGCAUUGGAUCGUUUGGUGCAAGAAACUUUUAUGUCUAAGAAAUGAGAGGAGAAGAAGGUGGUCAAGUAAAGUGAUGGAAGAUCUAACUCCAUUAAUGGAGCUAUAAUAGGAGGAAGCUUUAUGCUUGGAU